GGGGCAUAAGUGUACCUUGCGCCAGUCCAAAAAAUUUGAAAAAAAUACCAUCAGACGCAGAAAACGAAAUUCUAAAGACCGGGGGAUGCAUUUCCCUGAGGUCGACUCCUCCCCCCCACAGGGUCGAUGCGAAGUUCCGAGAUAGGCACUACAAGGCAUUACGCAAAGCGAGAGAGAAGGAUCAAACUGGAAUUUUACUCCAACCCGUUUCGAUUCCUCCGAGCGUGAGGAUCCAAAAUCAAAAUGUUUUUCGGUGAACUGCGCGUUGGCCUUCCUCUUCAAAUUCCCGUUUCGAAACCCACAUUUUCUUGAACGUGUCCAACGACGCCAAUAUCGAGCCACCGAUCCAGGUCGAGUAUAGACGUUCCUGAGGUGCGGAAAUCUGUGCAUAAGUUACAGUAGCAUUAUUAUAUAAUUACUGAUGAUUGUUUAUAACUAAUCAUGUACAUCUCUUAUCUACCAUAACACAAGUUCAUAGUGGUAUACUUGCCUUGAUUUUGAUAUCCUUUGGUGCUUGUUUUCUCACUUCAGAUAUCAGACGGUCACCAAAACCCUGGCAUAAUAAUUAUAUAUUAGAAACUUUGCGAUAUAAAUAAGGCAUCAAUUUAAAUUGAUAAAUAUUUGUUAACUGUUUAAAAUGAAUAUAUGCUAAUUGAUUAAAUUAAAUAUUUACUAAUUGAUUAAUUUGAAUAUUUGCUAACUGAUUAAACUGAACGUUUGCUUAUUAUUUAAAUCGAAGAUUUGUUAAUUGACUAAUCUGAAUAUUUUCUAACUGUUUAAAUUGAAUAUUUCCAAAUUGAUUAAUUUGAAUGUACUAAUUGCCAAAAUUGAAUACUUGUUACUUCACAAUUACUUUAAAUAAAGUCGAGCCACCGGAUAGAACGA